ensembl:lncRNA
AUGGGAGAGGGAACCAGGAAGUUCACUGUCCUUCAUGCCUCGGCUGCAAAGUCUGUCACCUCAAGGGUUGCUCCCUGCCAAAUGAGCUGCUUCCCAACCAGUAAGAGCGAGAAGAGGAGAAGACAGGUAGGAAUGAAGGAUACUGGGCCAACCUUGAGAUGGGUCACACCUCUCCCUCAGGAGUCUGGGAGAACAGAUACAUCUGAGUCCCUGCUUUAUUUUUGUCCAUAACUCUUAAAAUGUUUUCAUCUCUCUAUAUUGGUAGGAUCACUAGGUAAAAUACCUUGUAUUACAAUUUGCUAAAUCAGGGAACUUUAAACACAGGAGACUCUCAGCAACCAUUUUGCACAAUGAAUGAAUAGUUUUCUGCCUGGAGGUUUAAUGGGAGAAACAGAGAAUCCAAGCAAGGCAGCAGGCAGAGGGGAGCUGGCCUGGGAGGCAAGGAAGCUGGCUUGAGUUUCUAAGCAGAGAGCACUGUUUGCUGUGGGCCAGACCUGUGCUGAGCAUGGAGGCAGGAACAGAGGAGUAGAGAGAGGAGUUGGAGGGCCUGGGCCUUCCAGAAGCCUGCAGCUCACACCUGCUGGCUGUCUCCCCACUGUCAAUUCUCAUGCACUCACAUUUCUCGGCUCCUCACGGUGACUCAGUCUUUGAAUCACUUUUGUGAUUCAGAAACUAGGCUGGACCCAGGGUCCAGUCAGGAUUGUCCACUGCCUGGUCUCUCAGGCGGGAGCACAGGCAGAGGCUGGGAAAUACUCACGGGCUGGAUCUGCCCUUGGCAGGGCACCCCAAGAACUCCAGGUAGAUGUGUCUGAUCACAGUGCCCCUGCCCCGAUGGUGACACUGUCUAUUAUGGGGAUGAACUCUGGACUGUGAAACCCUUUCCUCUACAUUUAUGAUGUAAGAUAUCGAUGUUUUCAGGGAGAGAAGCGAAGUCUAGAGAUCAGCCUGCACAGACCUGAGUUGGUCAGUUUCUCCACAGCACUGCCUACUGGGAACGCAUAUCACUUGCCAUGAGGCCUUUGAGCUCAGCUGGCUUGUUGGCCAUAUUUCAUGGGUUACUGGAGAUAGGGCAGUGACAUGGCUGGGGGACCUAGGAAUGAAGAACAAGCUGGAGGCAAAUAAUUUUAUGUUAAAACAGAACCAGAAAGAAAGCUCAAUGCAGGAUGUAUCUGAUAAACAUUUUUCACUUCUUUAGUCCUAUAGGGCGGAGAAGCCAAUGGCACCCCACUCC